UACGGGGGGGCAAGCGUUGUUCGGAAUUACUGGGCGUAAAGGGCUCGUAGGCGGCUUUGUAAGUUAGAGGUGAAAGCCUGGAGCUCAACUCCAGAAUUGCCUUUGAUACUGCAUGGCUUGAAUCCAGGAGAGGUGAGUGGAAUUCCGAGUGUAGAGGUGAAAUUCGUAGAUAUUCGGAAGAACACCAGUGGCGAAGGCGGCUCACUGGACUGGUAUUGACGCUGAGGUGCGAAAGCGUGGGGAGCAAACAGG
rnacentral:rRNA from 1 species